rnacentral:rRNA from 1 species
UAUGUAGGUGGUUAAGUAAGUCGAGCGUGAAAUCCAUUGGCUCAACCAAUGAACUGCACUCGAAACUGCAUAACUUGAGUUCAGGAGAGGAAAGCGGAAUUCCCGGUGUAAGAGUGAAAUCUGUAGAGAUCGGGAGGAACACCAGUGGCGAAGGCGGCUUUCUGGACUGAUACUGACACUGAAAUACGAAAGCUAGGGGAGCAAACAGGAUUAGAUACCCUGGUAGUCC